rnacentral:pre_miRNA from 1 species
AACAGGAGAAUGAUAAAUCAGAUUUUUUUUCUCUUGAUUUUCAGUAUUUUCCCUCUUGAAAAAAAUUCAAAUUCAAGAAAAAAUGCUAAAAAUUAGGAGGAAAAAUUUGAUUUGUCAUUUUCCAAUU